UACGUAGGCAGCGAGCGUUGUUCGGAGUUACUGGGCGUAAAGAGUGCGUAGGCGGUUUUCUAAGUUUGGUGUGAAAUCUCCCGCUCAACUGGGAGGGUGCGCCGAAGACUGGAAGGCUUGAGUAUGGGAGAGGUAAGCGGAAUUCCUGGUGUAGCGGUGAAAUGCGUAGAUAUCAGGAGGAACACCUGCGGUGUAGACGGCUUACUGGACCAUAACUGACGCUGAGGCACGAAAGCGUGGGUAGCAAACAGG
rnacentral:rRNA from 1 species